GUAUACACCAAGACAAAACCACCAUCAUUGUUUUGUUUUGUAUUCAUCACUUAUCCAACUUGAUCCACAGUUUCAGAUCAGUUCUUGAUCUCUCAACAAGUAUCCAAACAUGGGCAGCAGAGAAAACAUAGAAGCAGGAGAGUUAGCAAGUCCUCUGCUUGACGUCGCCGGCGGCCGGAACAGCGGUGGUGAUGACGUUGGUGGAAGUAGUAGAAGUGGAACUGGAAGUGGAAGUGGAAGUGAAAAUUCUUCAGCCACAAGUAUGGUUGUACUCAGCACCUUGGUUGCUGUGUCUGGUUCCUAUGUUUUUGGCUCUGCGGUGGGAUAUUCCUCACCUGCUCGGUCAGGAAUCAUGGAUGAUUUGGGCCUCUCUGUUGCUGAGUACUCGGUUUUCGGUUCAAUAUUGACAAUUGGAGCAAUGAUAGGUGCAGUAGUGAGUGGGAAAAUGGCAGAUUACAUAGGUAGAAGAGGUACUAUGGGAUUUUCACAGAUAUUCUGCAUAUUUGGAUGGCUAGCCAUAGCUCUCUCUAAGGUUGCUUGGUGGGCUGAUCUUGGAAGACUAUUGGUAGGAUGUGGAAUGGGGCUACUUUCUUAUGUGGUGCCUAUAUACAUAGCAGAAAUAACACCAAAGAAUCUGCGGGGAGGAUUUACGACAGUUCAUCAGUUGAUGAUAUGUUGUGGUGUUUCACUAACAUAUCUUCUUGGGGCUUUUGUGAACUGGCGAGCUUUGGCACUGAUUGGAACUAUUCCUUGUGUUGUACAGAUUUUAGGUCUCUUCUUCAUUCCAGAGUCUCCUAGAUGGCUGGCAAAAAUAGGUAAAGAGAAAGAGGGGGAAGCAGCUCUUCAGUACCUUAGGGGGGAGAAUGCUGAUACUUCUGGAGAAGCAGCUGAGAUUAGAGAUUAUACAAAAACUCUGAAGCUUCUCUCAGAAGCAAGCAUUCUUGACUUAUUUCAGUGGAGAUAUGCUCAUUCCCUCCUUGUCGGAGUUGGCCUGAUGGUACUUCAACAAUUUGGAGGGGUUAAUGGCAUUGCCUUCUAUGCAAGUACCAUAUUCAUUUCAGCUGGGUUCUCUGAUAGUAUAGGGACUAUAGCUAUGGUUGCUGUUCAGAUUCCGAUGACAGCUUUGGGUGUAGUUUUAAUGGACAAAUCUGGAAGACGUCCACUUCUUCUGGUAUCUUCAGCAGGAACAUGCUUAGGUUGCCUCUUUGUGGGAUUGUCAUUCUUGUUGAAGGACCUUCAAGGAUGGAGUCAGGUCACUCCCAUAUUCGCUCUUGUUGGCGUACUGGUAUAUACAGGAUCAUUCUCAUUAGGCAUGGGAGGAAUUCCUUGGGUUAUAAUGUCGGAGAUAUUUCCUAUAAACAUGAAAGGCUCGGCUGGAAGCCUGGUGACAUUGGUUAGCUGGUUAGGUUCUUGGAUUGUGUCAUAUGCAUUUAAUUUCCUAAUGGAUUGGAAUUCAGCAGGGACAUUCUUCAUGUUUUCAAGCAUAUGUGGAGUAACUGUUUUAUUUGUUGCAAAGCUUGUACCGGAGACAAAGGGGCGAACACUUGAAGAAAUACAAGCCUCUAUGAAUCCGUUUUCUGUAAAACGAUAAAUGAUGAAAAAGACGCCAAAGAGAGAAGAUGAAUUGACCUCGACCUCUGACCUCGAAGUGACCUCAACCAGACUUGGGGGAAAUUAUCACUUGGUUUUGGCUAAUUUGAUCAGGUAAACAGAGCUCAACCUGGCUCUCAUGAGAAGCUCAAAAGCAGGGACUUAAUGAAACUGCUCGAAGGAAACAUGCAUGUGGACUACAGCAUAACCAAAAUAGGGGAUCAGCUUCUGUUUGGAGAAGAGCUCAAAAGUAUUGAUGAAUGUUAGGCCUUAGGGACAACAUCUAGCGGAUGACUGGGAGUGCUUCAAGAUGUUUAGUCGCUGUGGGAAGCUAUCGACAUAUGCAGAAUGAAAUACACGCAAGCUUUUGCAACCUAGAGAAAAUGGUUGCAGUGUCUAAUCAAGCUUGUUCUAAGAAACCCCAUGUCUAAUCUGAAAAUGGAUGUACUAAAUAAAGUCAAGCAUGUAUGUUGGUUACUUCUUUGGGUUACUACAAUGAAAAUUAAAAAUUAUAAGUUGAUAAAGAUCAAAUAUUUUAAAAAUGUGAUAUUUGUUGUCGAUUUGCAAAUCUUGCUAGUAUAUAGACAGAUGGCCAAUUAUCUGCCUUGGUCAGAGUCCAUUCCAGAAGAUAUCCUUAUAAGAGUGGCUCUAGGUGUUGUGUAUGAUUACUAAUCUGCCAAGCUUGCUGAUAUUGAAUGCAAUGAUGGAAUGGAUGCAAGUUCUUUAGAAGUUGAGGACAGGGAUCAUGUGGAAAUGGUGCUUAAGUACAUCGAGGAGGAUGGAGAUCUCCGUCGUUGGAGCCUACCGGAUAUUAAACGCCGUAAUUAUUGGACUU